rnacentral:rRNA from 1 species
AUACACGCUGGCGGCGUGCCUAAUACAUGCAAGUCGAGCGAACAGACGAGGAGCUUGCUCCUCUGACGUUAGCGGCGGACGGGUGAGUAACACGUGGAUAACCUACCUAUAAGACUGGGAUAACUUCGGGAAACCGGAGCUAAUACCGGAUAAUAUAUUGAACCGCAUGGUUCAAUAGUGAAAGACGGUUUUGCUGUCACUUAUAGAUGGAUCCGCGCCGCAUUAGCUAGUUGGUAAGGUAACGGCUUACCAAGGCAACGAUGCGUAGCCGACCUGAGAGGGUGAUCGGCCACACUGGAACUGAGACACGGUCCAGACUCCUACGGGAGGCAGCAGUAGGGAAUCUUCCGCAAUGGGCGAAAGCCUGACGGAGCAACGCCGCGUGAGUGAUGAAGGUCUUCGGAUCGUAAAACUCUGUUAUUAGGGAAGAACAAAUGUGUAAGUAACUAUGCACGUCUUGACGGUACCUAAUCAGAAAGCCACGGCUAACUACGUG